GUACUAGAAGCUGCAAUUGGACUAUUUUGUUGCUCUACAUAAACAGAGCCUUAAUCUAGCUUUAAGGCUCAAAGAAAGACUCUACAGGUGUCCACUUGGACUUCACUGCCUUCGAGAAGACUCUGCUGGUUCUUCUUAGACCAGGUUAUGUGCCCUUUCAUGUACUCCUUACCUUGGUACUUAUCAGAAUCAUAACUGAAGACCAAAACCACCAAGUACUCCUGCCGCUGCCCUGCCGCCUUUACUGAGAGGCACCCCUGACAGAAACCUUUAGCGGCUGCCACUCCAGCACCCGGG
rnacentral:lncRNA from 1 species